rnacentral:rRNA from 2 species
UACGUAGGAGGCGAGCGUUGUCCGGAGUUACUGGGCGUAAAGGGUGCGCAGGCGGUGGUGCGCGUGGAUAGAUGAAAUCUCCUGGCUUACCUGGGAGGAUGGUAUCCAGACGGCAUCACUUGAGGGUCGGAGAGGGGCGUGGAAUUCCGGGUGGAGCGGUGAAAUGCGUAGAGAUCCGGAGGAACACCGACGGCGUAGGCAGCGCCCUGGACGACACCUGACGCUGAGGCACGAAAGCUGGGGGAGCGAACAGG